AGGACUUCUGCAUUAUUACUCUCAUCAGGAACAGCAAGAGCACUGCUAUCAAGCACAGGCUGGUCUGUACCACUAAAAGCAAGUGAUAGAGAAUGAUUAUGUUCAGCAGGAGCAGUACUAAGACCAAAAUCUUGUAAACCUCUCAUUCUCGGAAGUACACCAGCAUUAUCAACAUCCCCACUAAGUUGAUUUCGAUCUUUG
rnacentral:misc_RNA from 1 species